rnacentral:rRNA from 1 species
UACGAGAGGCCCAAACGUUAUUCGGAUUUACUGGGCUUAAAGAGUUCGUAGGCGGUUCGGUAAGUGGGGUGUGAAAGCCCUCGGCUCAACCGAGGAAUUGCGCUUCAAACUGCCGGGCUCGAGGGAGAUAGAGGUGAGCGGAACUGAUGGUGGAGCGGUGAAAUGCGUUGAUAUCAUCAGGAACACCAGAGGCGAAGGCGGCUCACUGGGUCUCUUCUGACGCUGAGGAACGAAAGCUAGGGGAGCAAACGGG